GACGAACGCUGGCGGCGUGCUUAACACAUGCAAGUCGAACGAUGAAGCAGAGAAACGCGCACUUCGGUUCAAAUUUCACUUCGGAUUAGUGGCAGACGGGUGAGUAACGCGUGAGCAACCUACCUCCUACAAAGGGAUAGCCUCGGGAAACCGUGAUUAAUACCAUAUGACACAUUCAUAAGGCAUCUUAAGAAUGUUAAAGCUACGGCGGUAAGAGAUGGGCCCGCGUCCCAUUAGCUAGUUGGUGAGGUAACGGCCCACCAAGGCGACGAUGGGUAACCGGCCUGAGAGGGUGAACGGUCACAUUGGAACUGAGACACGGUCCAAACUCCUACGGGAGGCAGCAGUGGGGAAUAUUGCACAAUGGAGGGAACUCUGAUGCAGCGACGCCGCGUGAGCGAUGAAGGAAUUCGUUUCGUAAAGCUCUGUUCUAUGGGAAGAAAAGGACUGUACCAUAGGAGAAAGCCCCGGCUAAAUACGUG
rnacentral:rRNA from 1 species